rnacentral:rRNA from 1 species
CCUACGGGUGGCAGCAGUAGGGAAUAUUGCAAAAUGGGCGAAAGCCUGAUGCAGCAACGCCGCGUGUGCGAUGAAGGCCUUCGGGUCGUAAAGCACUUUUCGCUGGGAUGAGGAAGGACAGUACCAUCGGAAUAAGCCUCGGCUAACUACGUGCCAGCAGCCGCGGUAAAACGUAGGAGGCGAGCGUUAUCCGGAUUUACUGGGUGUAAAGCGCGUGCAGGCGGAUGAGAAAGUUGGAUGUAAAAGCUCCCGGCUUAACUGGGAGAGGUCGUUCAAAACUUCUGAUCGAGAGUGCAGUAGAGGGAAGUGGAAUUCCGGGUGUAGUGGUGAAAUGCGUAGAUAUCCGGAGGAACACCAGUGGCGAAAGCGGCUUUCUGGACUGCAACUGACGCUCAGACGCGAAAGCUAGGGUAGCAAACGGGAUUAGAUACCCCGGUAGUC